UAAGGACGGUUUCCCCUCAUGCCCACAGUCAGCUUCUGCUUUGAUCGAGUGCUGGUGUGCGUUACUGUCUCUCCGGCACAUGUGAUUAUUAUUUUUUUUUUUCCAACUAGAUUCAUGUGAUGUUUGCCUGGGUACUUGUGGUGAUGUCCUGAGUUCACCACCACCAGCAUCACCAUGAAGGCAGGUCUGCUCAUCACCACAUAAGGAAGAAGCUGAUGUUUGCCUGGGUACUUGUGGUGAUGUCCUGAGUUCACCAGCAUCACCAUGAAGGCAGGUCUGCUCAUCACCACAUAAGGAAGAAGCUGGUGA